rnacentral:tRNA from 1 species
GGUCUCGUUGUGUAGCGGUUAACACGCCUGCCUGUCACGCAGGAGAUCGCGGGUUCGAUUCCCGUCGAGACCGCCA